GACGAAGGAUGCAAGCGUUAUCCGGAUUCAUUGGGUUUAAAGGGUGCGUAGGCGGCCAGAUAAGUCAGUGGUGAAAGCCUGUUGCUUAACAACAGAACUGCCAUUGAUACUGUUUGGCUUGAGUACAGAUGCUGUGGGCGGAAUAUGACAUGUAGUGGUGAAAUACAUAGAGAUGUCAUAGAACACCGAUUGCGAAGGCAGCUCACAAAACUGUAACUGACGCUGAGGCACGAAAGUGCGGGGAUCAAACAGG
rnacentral:rRNA from 1 species